rnacentral:rRNA from 1 species
UACGUAGGGUCCGAGCGUUGUCCGGAGUUAUUGGGCGUAGAGGGCUCGUAGGCGGUUCGUCACGUCGGGAGUGAAAACUCGGGGCUUAACCCCGAGCCUGCUUCCGAUACGGGCAGACUAGAGGUAGGCAGGGGAGAGCGGAACUCCUGGUGUAGCGGUGGAAUGCGCAGAUAUCAGGAGGAACACCGGUGGCGAAGGCGGGUCUCUGGGCAGUAACUGACGCUGAGGAGCGAAAGCGUGGGGAGCGAACAGG